rnacentral:lncRNA from 1 species
GUAUGUAUAUGUAUAUAUAGAAUUCUAGAAUGGAAUGGGUUGGUUUAGAUCGAUCUUAACCUGAUGAUUGAUGAUCAUGAAUUUUUUUCUAUUCAAUAUCAAAUCGCAGAAAAUUCGAAUUAUGGUUUGAAAUGGAUUUACAUGAAAUCCCUAGUAUUUUCAUUUUCGACCGCUACAAGAUCAACAAUGCCAUGAACUUGGGCUUCUGUUGCUGACAUAAAAACAUCUCUUUCCAUGUCUUCGGAUACAACCCAUAAAGGAUUACCCGUUCUUUGUACAUAAACCUUUGUGAGGGUUUCGCGAAGUUUCAGUAGUUC